UCUUCAUUAUUAUUAUCACAGUUGAGGUUAUGCAGCUAUAUAGAUAAUAUUGUUCUCUCAUUAAAUAUAAUAACAAUUAAAAAAAUACUAUUAAAUAGCUUUUGAUUUGAGACCAUGAAAUAAAAAUCCUAACGUCGAGUGGCGAAUUUGAUUAUUUAUUUCAAUAAGUAUGUGUAAUUAGUCUCAUAAGUAAUCAUACUGAUGUUAUAUCUGAGUAAAAAAUCAUUCGCUUGUAGACAGGAGUAAUAUGCUGGGUGAUACCUUACAACGUUCACACUCAGUGAGUUUUAUUGUGAUCCUGUAAGUUGAAAAAUCACUGCAAAAAUACAUAGAGAAAUGUAUGGUGAAGUUGAGAUUGAUCUAGACAAAAAUCGCGAGUUGAUAUCAUGGAAAAUCUUAUCGUAUACUGUCACAAGAACAUUUUACUCCAACGAAAAUGUCCACACUUUUACUGUUAUCGAUAUCGUUAAUAUAACCAAAACCGACUUAGUUUUGCUCCAAAAACAACCUGGAAAUGAUGCUUAAUUCGCUAUAAAAGCUUUUAUAUAGGGGUUGAGGAUAUUCGGACACUUUAGUAUAAGUCUAGUGUGAAAAAGUAGCCCAAGGAAGACAGCAAACUUCGUAUACUUUUGCAAAGUUACAAAAACUGUCUGUGACAGCAAAGAUGAAAAGUCGUCGUGUGUAAUGGUCUUGUCUAUACACCCUUUUGCGUCUGAACUUCUCACAACGAUUGGACUGCCAAUAUAGAAAGAAUUAUACAUUUUCAAAAAGCCAAAAAUUUUAUUUUUCUUACCUAAAAAUAUUCUCAUCAUCGAUUACUGCCGUGAUUAUUUCUUGCAGUUGCUGGUAGAAGAAAAAUUAUCGCGAAGCAUCGAGAGUUAAUAAAUAUAGAAAAAAUAAAUGAAGUUCAUAAUAUAAAUCCUGAUAACUAUUGAAUUUUCGGAAUCUAAAUUGUGUACCGUGGGAUUUUAUUACAUUUAUGGCCAUUGUUAUGAAAUAUCGAUGAAUUGGAUUUUCAAGAACUUAAAAGAAUUAAGAAUUUAAAAGAAUUCAUUUUGUAUUAUGAGUACUGGAAAUUAAUUUUUGAGUAGAAAAUUUUUUUUUUCCCGUUUAUGAUGUUACUUUAAACUUCAUUUUGAUAGAACAUCGUUUUAUAAAUUUCGGAAAUGAUGUUUCGAAAGUUUCUAUCUGAGUUAAUUCUGAAUUUAUUUGAAAAUUUAUAUAUAUAUUUACGUAACAAUUUUAAUGAAAACGAUAGGAAUAUUUUAUUAAAAAAAAAA